CUAAUCCUUGCUACCUGGGUGAGAGUGCUUUCUGAAUGCAAUGCACCUGGGCAAGGAUUCUGA
ensembl:miRNA microRNA 500a